UUUGAUCCUGGCUCAGGACGAACGCUGGCGGCGUGCCUAAUACAUGCAAGUCGAGCGGAACACUUGGAGCUUGCUCCAACUUCUUAGCGGCGGACGGGUGAGUAACACGUGGGCAACCUGCCCUGCAGAUCGGGAUAACUCCGGGAAACCGGUGCUAAUACCGAAUAGUUUGGGGCCUCUCCUGGGGCCCCACGGAAAGACGGUUUCGGCUGUCACUGCAGGAUGGGCCCGCGGCGCAUUAGCUGGUUGGUGGGGUAAUGGCCCACCAAGGCGACGAUGCGUAGCCGACCUGAGAGGGUGAUCGGCCACACUGGGACUGAGACACGGCCCAGACUCCUACGGGAGGCAGCAGUAGGGAAUCUUCCGCAAUGGACGCAAGUCUGACGGAGCAACGCCGCGUGAGUGACGAAGGUUUUCGGAUCGUAAAACUCUGUUGUGAGGGAAGAACAAGUACCAACUAACUACUGGUACCUUGACGGUACCUCACCAGAAAGCCACGGCUAACUACGUGCCAGCAGCCGCGGUAAUACGUAGGUGGCAAGCGUUGUCCGGAAUUAUUGGGCGUAAAGCGCGCGCAGGCGGUCCCUUAAGUCUGAUGUGAAAGCCCACGGCUCAACCGUGGAGGGUCAUUGGAAACUGGGGGACUUGAGUGCAGAAGAGGAAAGUGGAAUUCCAUGUGUAGCGGUGAAAUGCGUAGAGAUGUGGAGGAACACCAGUGGCGAAGGCGACUUUCUGGUCUGUAACUGACGCUGAGGCGCGNAAGCGUGGGGGAGCAAACAGGAUUAGAUACCCUGGUAGUCCACGCCGUAAACGAUGAGUGCUAAGUGUUANGGGGUUUUCCGCCCCUUAAUGCUGCAGCU
rnacentral:rRNA from 1 species